GUACAGAGCUGACUGAAAUUUGAUAUGCAAAAUAACAAUUUUGCUUCAUGUUGGCUUCGCUCGCUCCCCCAGUUUAUGCUUACAAUCCUACCCACUCUAUUUCCUGUUGCGCCUGCUAUUCGUCACAAUAGGAUCAUACUCCUCCUGUCUGCCUGCCGUCCCUCACUGACAGACUCUGCAUUCAGCCACUCACCGCCUGCCUGUCCCUCAGCCACCUCGCCAGCCCUGUUUUCCUCAUCCCGGAUUCGCUCCGCCAUUCGUCGCCUGCCAGCCUCUCAAUUCUCCUCAGCCUUCACCUGCCCUGCCACACUCUCUCUUUACAAUAAAUUCAGUUCAACUUGC